UACGUAGGGGGCAAGCGUUGUCCGGAUUUAUUGGGCGUAAAGAGCGUGUAGGCGGCCAGACAGGUCCGUUGUGAAAACUCGAGGCUCAACCUCGAGACGCCGAUGGAAACCGUUUGGCUAGAGUCCAGAAGAGGAGAGUGGAAUUCCUGGUGUAGCGGUGAAAUGCGCAGAUAUCAGGAAGAACACCCGUGGCUAAGGCGGCUCUCUAGUACGGUACUGACGCUGAGACGCGAAAGCGUGGGGAGCGAACAGG
rnacentral:rRNA from 1 species